rnacentral:rRNA from 1 species
UCGAGGAUCUUCGGCAAUGGGCGCAAGCCUGACCGAGCGACGCCGCGUGCGGGAUGAAGGCCUUCGGGUUGUAAACCGCUGUCAGAGGGGAUGAAAUAUUGGGGGGUUCUCCCCCUAGUUUGACAUAUCCUCAGAGGAAGUGUGGGCUAAGUUCGUGCCAGCAGCCGCGGUAAGACGAACCACACAAACGUUAUUCGGAAUUACUGGGCUUAAAGGGUGCGUAGGCGGCGCGGAAAGUUGGGUGUGAAAUCCCUCGGCUCAACCGAGGAACUGCGCCCAAAACUACCGUGCUCGAGGGAGAUAGAGGUGAGCGGAACUUAGGGUGGAGCGGUGAAAUGCGUUGAUAUCCUAAGGAACACCCGUGGCGAAAGCGGCUCACUGGGUCUCUUCUGACGCUGAGGCACGAAAGCUAGGGUAGCGAACGG